UGGAGCAGAGCUGUACUGACUCUUUCUUAUCCAUGGGUAGCACAAGUGAAAAAUAAACUUCUGUGGUGCAAAGUCACUGAGAUUCAGGAGCUGUUACCAAAGCGGAGCCGAGCUCAGUCGUUCCCAGUCUGGUCCCAGCCACCACGUAAGACGUUCCUUUGCUCUUCCUUCAUCUUCCACCAUGAUUGUGAUGCCUCCUCAGCCACGCUGAACUGGGUAGCCACCACAGGCCCACAGGCUAAAAUUGAGCUGGAGUAAGUGGCAACAGAGAGUCUUUAUUGUCCCCUAAGAGCCCUGGCCUUUGUAGGACAUAUAAAUGCCAAUGCUGAUGUAGAAAGGUGGAGGAAGAGAGCCAGAGUGCAGUUCACCUCUGGGAGAGCAGACCAGAGUGGCUUCCAUGGGCACAUGCUGGAUUGAAGUGAGAAGACGUGACUACUAAAGUUGAGGCCCCAAGUCUCAGCUCCUUCCCCCUCCGAAGCAUGAGUGGAGGAUUCACUUAAGGCCACUUUGAAGCCCAUAUUGGAGGAGCAUUACUCACUCUGAGGAUCCUGGCAUAGGCAGAUGCAUCACUUAUAUUGAAGUAUAUUAUCUGCUGUGAUAUUUAUGAUGAAAUGAGUUUGCCAGCCAUCAUCUAUCAGGGGAUCAAACAUAGGCACCUGCCUGUCCAAGGGGGUCUAAGUCAUAGUAGAGAAGUGGUUUGCAAAGGCUCGUGGGAUGGUGUGGCAGGCCCGUGGAGUUGAAUAAAAAUCCUGAUGUCCUUCCUGGCAUGAAGAGUGGAGCUGCCAAGCUGCCCCCAGGAGAAGCGUGCUGCCUAUGCAUCUCACUGGACUUCUGUGUACAGAAGAAAUAUUGGUGGUUUGACC
rnacentral:lncRNA from 1 species